AUUGAACGCUGGCGGCAGGCCUAACACAUGCAAGUCGAGCGGACGAAGGGAGCUUGCUCCUGGAUUCAGUGGCGGACGGGUGAGUAAUGCCUAGGAGUCUGCCCGGUAGUGGGGGAUAACGUCCGGAAACGGGCGCUAAUACCGCAUCCGUCAUGAUUGUGAACGUGGGGGAUCUUCGGACCUCACGCGUCCAGAUGAGCCUAGGUCGGAUUAGCUAGUUGGAGAGGUAAAGGCCUACCAAGGCGACGAUCCGUAACUGGUCUGCGAGGAUGAUCAGUCACACUGGAACUGAGACACGGUCCAGACUCCUAAGGGAGGCAGCAGUGGGGAAUAUUGGACCAUGGGCGAAAGGCUGAUCCAGCCAUGCCGCGUGUGUGAAGAAGGUCUUCGGAUUGUAAAGCACUUUAAGUUGGGAGGAAGGACAGUAAGUUAAUACCUUGCUGUUUUGACGUUACCAUCAGAAUAAGCCCCGGCUAACUUCGUG
rnacentral:rRNA from 1 species